rnacentral:rRNA from 1 species
UUAUAUCAAUGUUGUUGCAGUUAAAAAGCUCGUAGUCGGAUUUUUGUGUCUGUCGAACUGUCUGCCGAUUGGUUUGUACGGUUUGACGGGCAUAUUCCUUCCAGAGGCUCCGUGAGGCCUUCAUUGGUUUCGCGGUUGAAUCUGGGUCUUUUACUUUGAAAAAAUUAGAGUGUUCAAAGCAGGCCUAUGCUCGAAUAGGUUAGCAUGGAAUAAUAGAAUAGGACUUCGGUCUUAUUUUGUUGGUUUCUAGGACCGAAGUAAUGAUUAACAGGGACAGUUGGGGGCAUUCAUAUUCCAUUGUCAGAGGUGAAAUUCUUGGAUUAACGGAAGAUGAACUUCUGCGAAAGCAUCUGCCAAGGAUGUUUUCAUUGAUCAAGAACGAAAGUUAGGGGAUCGAAGACGAUCAGAUACCGUCGUAGUCUUAACCAUAAACUAUGCCGACUAGGGAUGUGGAGUCGUUAACUUUGUACGACCUCUCCAUGCACCUUAUGAGAAAUCAAAGUCUAUGGGUUCCGGGGGGAGUAUGGUCGCAAGGCUGAAACUUAAAGGA